GCCGGGGUGAGCAAAGCCGCCGUCGCUGAGCGCCUACUGGGAGGCAGCCCUGAGGUGAUCUCAUUCUACCUUCCACCACUCUGAAGCCCAAGUUCCUCUACUACUUCGGCGUAUGUUGACCAUGGGCAUCAGGCAUCAGAGAUGCAGCUUUGGAUCCUGUCCAUCCAUUGCUGAGCACUCUGUCCAUCCUGGGCACAGAAGUUAUAUACACGUUUGCUGGUCUUGAGCUACAAAACCAAAUGACAGAGAACCAGAGAUGAAAGUCAGGGCUGUUUUAUGGCUUUGGAACUUUGAGGGAAGACUGCCUCUUUCUGCUGGGAUUACUACAUUUGUGAGGCUUGGAACUAUCAGGCCACCUUUGUGCCACAAUGAGACUGAUGUGACAAAGGGAAAAGCAGAGCUGGGAGACAAACACAGCCUAAAGAUACUGUAGGAGAAGCCUGCGUGCCCUUGGCUGUCCUAGUUUGUGUGAGUAAAUUCCUUUUUGCUUCAGCUAGCAUAA